GGUCAGGGGAGCAAACGGGAUUAGAUACCCCGGUAGUCCUGACAGUAAACGGUGCACGUUUGGUGUGGGAGGAUUCGACCCCUUCUGCGCCGGAGCUAACGCGUUAAACGUGCCGCCUGGGGAGUACGGUCGCAAGAUUAAAACUCAAAGAAAUUGACGGGGGCCCGCACAAGCGGUGGAGUAUGUGGCUCAAUUCGAUGCAACGCGAAGAACCUUACCUGGCCUUGACAUGCAUCUCUAAGCUGGUGAAAGCCAGUGAGUCCCGAAAGGGACAAUUUGCACAGGUGCUGCAUGGCUGUCGUCAGCUCGUGUCGUGAGAUGUUGGGUUAAGUCCCGCAACGAGCGCAACCCCUGUGAACUGUUGCCACCGAGCCGUGAGGCUCGAGCACUCUGUUCAGACUGCCCCGUUCUAACGGGGAGGAAGGUGGGGACGACGUCAAGUCAGUAUGGCCCUUACGGCCAGGGCUGCACACGUACUACAAUGCCCAGUACAGAAGGAUCCUAGACCGCGAGGUGGAGGAAAUCACUAAAACUGGGCCCAGUUCAGAUUGGAGUCUGCAACUCGACUCCAUGAAGCCGGAAUCGCUAGUAAUGGCGCAUCAGCUACGGCGCCGUGAAUACGUUCCCGGGCCUUGUACACACCGCCCGUCACAUCAUGGAAGUCACUUGUAGCCGAAGUCGGCGUGCUAACCGCAAGGAGGCAGUCGCCUACGCUAUGAGCGGUAACUGGGAUGAAGUCGUAACAAGGUACCAAUCCCGCGG
rnacentral:rRNA from 1 species